AGGCUAUGACGCGUAACUGGUCUGAGAGGAUGAUCAGUCACAUUGGAACUGAGACACGGUCCAAACUCCUACGGGAGGCAGCAGUAGGGAAUAUUGCGCAAUGGGGGAAACCCUGACGCAGCAACGCCGCGUGGAGGAUGACACUUUUCGGAGCGUAAACUCCUUUUGUUAGGGAAGAAUAAUGACGGUACCUAACGAAUAAGCACCGGCUAACUCCGUGCCAGCAGCCGCGGUAAUACGGAGGGUGCAAGCGUUACUCGGAAUCACUGGGCGUAAAGGACGCGUAGGCGGAUUAUCAAGUCUCUUGUGAAAUCUAACGGCUUAACCGUUAAACUGCUUGGGAAACUGAUAAUCUAGAGUAAGGGAGAGGCAGAUGGAAUUCUUGGUGUAGGGGUAAAAUCCGUAGAUAUCAAGAAGAAUACCUAUUGCGAAGGCGAUCUGCUGGAACUUAACUGACGCUAAUGCGUGAAAGCGUGGGGAGCAAACAGGAUUAGAUACCCUGGUAGUCCACGCCCUAAACGAUGUAUACUGGUUGUUGCUGUGCUAGUCAUGGCAGUAAUCCACCUAACGGAUUAAGUAUACCGCCUGGGGAGUACGGUCGCAAGAUUAAAACUCAAAGGAAUAGACGGGGACCCGCACAAGCGGUGGAGCAUGUGGUUUAAUUCGAAGAUACGCGAAGAACCUUACCCGGACUUGAUAUCUAACAAAUCAUCCAGAGAUGGAAGAGUGUCUGCUUGCAGAAAUGUUAAGACAGGUGCUGCACGGCUGUCGUCAGCUCGUGUCGUGAGAUGUUGGGUUAAGUCCCGCAACGAGCGCAACCCACGUCAUUAGUUGCUAACGGUUCGGCCGAGCACUCUAAUGAGACUGCCUUCGUAAGGAGGAGGAAGGUGUGGACGACGUCAAGUCAUCAUGGCCCUUAUGUCCGGGGCGACACACGUGCUACAAUGGCAUAUACAAUAAGACGCAAUAUCGUAAGAUGGAGCAAAUCUAAAAAAUAUGUCCCAGUUCGGAUUGGAGUCUGCAACUCGACUCCAUGAAGCCGGAAUCGCUAGUAAUCGUAGAUCAGCCAUGCUACGGUGAAUACGUUCCCGGGUCUUGUACUCACCGCCCGUCACACCAUGGGAGUUGAUUUCACUCGAAGCGGGAAUGCGAAAUUCGCUACCCUCCACAGUGGAAUCAGCGACUGGGGUGAAGUCGUAACAAGGUAACCGUAGGAGAACCUGCGGUUG
rnacentral:rRNA from 1 species